rnacentral:lncRNA from 1 species
ACUAAAUCGAAGAUAGCAACAAAGAAUAUGAAAGAGAUACCGAUACCAAACAUGGGAUAAAUUCAUCUCAAACUUAAUCCCAACAUUAACUAUGCCCUAUCCCUCAUACCAAACGAGCCCUUAUUAACAUAGUAAAUUCAUCAAUAAUUAUCAACAAAAGCCCUGCAAGUCCAACAGAGGCAACAAUUAUUAGGUGAUCUCUUCUCAUCUGUCUAAGUCUUGGUGGAUAAAGUUGUCCGAUACCUAUGCUGUUGAGAGGGAGGAGGUACCCUGUGGAAUUAGUCGAGGUGCGAGCAUGAUGGUUCGGAUACCACCAUCAUAAAAAAGAACCUGUAAGUUACUUGACUAUCAAUCUCAUUUCAAGGUAGAAAAAAAUGUAGUCCAAAGAUCCUCAGCUGAGGAAUUCCCCUCUGCAUGUGCUGAAGUUGGUGUUGUCAUGAUAUCAGAAUUGGUCAUGUUGAGGACUGAAUUGGAGUUUACUAUCCCUGUUGAGGAAUUGUUGAAUGAAGUAUUUGGGGUUGAAACCAUCUCAGUGAAAUAGAAUUCAGAUAUUUCUCCUCCUCUUCCAACUUCAUCACAUUGUGUUUCUUUGUUAUUGCA